UGGAGAUUCCCAGGCUAGGGGUUGAAUCAGAGCUGUAGCCGCCGGCCUACACCAGAGCCACAGCAACGAGGGAGCCGAGCCAUGUCUGUAACCUACACCUCAGCUCACGGCAACGCCGGAUCCUUAACCCACUGAGCAAGGCCAGGGAUUGAACCCGCAACCUCAUGGUUCCUAGUCGGAUUCGUUAACCACUGCGCCACAACGGGAACUCCAAGGAGGGAAUUUUAAGUUUUCCAACUGACAGUGUUAUUUAUUUUUGCUUUUUAGGGCCACACCUGCAACAUAUGAAAGUUCCCAGGCUAGGGGUGAAAUCCAAGCUGCAGCUGCCUGCCAGUCUGCACCAUAGCCACAGCAAUAUGGGAUGGAUCUCUGUGGCCUACACCACAGCUCACAGCAACGCCGGAUCCUUAACCCGCUGAGUGAGGCCAGGGAUCGAACCUGUAUCCUCAUGGAUGCUAGUCAGAUUGGUUUCCACUGAGCCACUAUGGGAACUCUGGGUUAUUUUUACUUCUGCUCUCAUUAUAUCUUGUUUUAUUUUUUGUUUUUUUUUUUUUUUUUUUUGAGGGGCACACUUGCCACAUAUGGAAGUUCCCAGGCUAGGGGUCAAAUUGGAGCUGUAGUCAGUGGCCUGCACCACAGCCACACCAGAUCCAAGCCUCAUCUGAGACCUACACCACAGCUCACAGCAAUGCCAGAUCCUUAACCCAUGAGUGAGGCCGGGGAUAGAACCUGCGUCUUCACGGAUGCUCGUCAGAUUCCUUUCCACUCUGCUGUGCUGUGACAGAACUCCCUGUUGCCACCUUUUGACCAUAUUUGCUGAUCUACCUUGGUCAGGUCAGCUCUUACUGUUUCUGUUUUGAAUGGGCCUUGGUCUACCAAGGUGUAGGGAUUUCUGUAUUUUCCAGCGUCUCCCUCUUGGGAUUUUUUUUCCUUUGAAAGUUGCUCUGCGGUAGAGGUUUUGCUCCUCCCUUAUGCUUCCAUGGCGGAUGGUUGUCCUCACCGAGGCAAAAUGACUCUCCUGUUCCUUUCUUUCUCUCUUGUGUCUGGCGUCUCUCAUGCAGUGUUACACAUUGGUGAGUUUAUUCCUUCUCGCUGCUGCUGCUUUGUUUCAUUGAGGUGUAAUUGACAAGGUGAACAGGACAAUGAUUUGACUGAGAUACGUUAUGAGAUGAGGCCCACAGUAACAUUUAGUGAGCAUCCAUCCUCUCGCAGAGAUAGAAAAUUAAAGGCGUAGAAACACAUGGUUUUUCCUCGUGGUGAGGUUUACACCUUAAUGACCUUCGCAUGUAACAUACAGUAGUGUUAAUUAUAUUUACAUGUUGUACAUUGUAUCCCUGGUUCUUCAGGUUCUUGUAUCUGGAAGUUUGUACCUUUUGGCGGCCUUCAUCCAGUUCCCCUCCCCACCUCUGCCUCCGAUAACCACAGGUCUGAUCUUUUGUCUCUGAGUUUGUUUUGAAGUAUCGCUGACCUGCAGCUCUGUAUUGGUACCUGGUACCCAGUACAGUGAUUCAGUAUUUCUCUGCAUUUCAGAGUGAUCACCUCGACAAGCCUAGUUACCAUCUGUCUGUUCCUUCUCGUUGUGAAAUAGUAUUCUGUUAUGUGAGUGUAAUAUUUAUUCGUUCUAGCUGUGAUAGAUUUUACUUAGCUCGGUUCCAUUUAGAGCUGUGGUGGAGUGCUGCCAUUGCCGUGCUCACGCGUCCUUCGGUGUGUCUUGGUAUGUGUUCUCUUGCGUUCCUACCUAGGAAUGGAAUUGCUAGGUCCCAGGGGACGCAUAGGUUCGGCUUUAGUAGGCAGCUGCCACUUUUCCAGAGAGUGUACCAAUUGGCACACCCACCAGUAGUGCACAAGUGUCGUCCUUCCUUCCCACACUCACCAGCCCUUGGUGUAAAGAUGUCUCCUCUCACCAGAUUGAUCUCUAGAUGCUGCGCGAUUCCAACCAGAAUCCCAGCAGGCUUUUCUUUUGCUGUUGGUUAUUUGGAAAUUUGACAAACCGAUUAUGAAACUUAUGUGAAAAUGCAAAAAAGGACCAAGACUAAGCAACGCUGGAAGGGCUCAGCUGACUAGAUGUCAAGGCUUUAUAAAAGCCACAGUAAGGAAGGCAGCACAGUGUUGGUGAAAGGCUAGACAAAUGGACCGAUGGAACUGAGAUCUUGAAACAGGCUGCAUGGAAGCAGUCACUUAAUGUAUGACAAAGGUGCCACAUGACAGAUGGAAAAAAAUGGCCUUUUCAAAAAAAGGUCCUGGGAAGGUUGGAUUCUCCAUGUAGAAGAGGUGGGGGGAGAAUCUUCUGCCUGUAAUCCUGUCUAGAAUCAGUUUUAGGUAGAUUAUAGAGCUAAACGUGAAAGAGAAAACAGAACUUCUGGAGUAAACAGGAGAAUAUCCUUACCGUCUUGGAGAAGACAGUUCUUUAAAUAGGAUACAGAAAGUGCUACCAAAAUAGAGAAGAUUGGUACAUUGAACUGCCUUAAGCCUUCUCUCUUCUACUUUCUACAAAUGCUCCAAUGAAAUGCAGCAAACACUGUUUUGUAAUUGCCCAGAUCGUUAGAUAAUCCGUCAGUCCCCUGCUCUCCUCGGAUGGACGGCUCCUCUCCUGCCUUCAGUGCAGCUGCCUGGGGCUUUCUUUGGCUGUCACUCAGGGUCUUGUUCCUCUGUGUUGGAUCCCCUGUUUCUUGGGUCCGUGGGUGGUGUGAACGUCAAAUAACAGCGACUCUCUUAAGCUGCCUUGGAGCAAUAAGGUCACUGGCUCAAGUUAAGUAGAAUUCCAGCAGUUCCCCUUUGGUUGGUCCAGAUACCUUUCUUGUCUGGGUGGGUCUCUGGCCAGGGGGAUGGAGUUCUCUUAGAUGGAGCUGGGUGUGGGUCAGCUUCCCAGGCCGCAGGCUUCUUGGGAAGGGACAAGGUCACGUCCUCCAGGAAAGAAGAAGAGAGAGUUGACUUCCAGGAGGUCAGUCCACCGUGGCCACUGCAACAUUUGCCCGUGUCUUGGUUUGCUUUCUUACUCGUUAGAGCAUCUUUCCCUGUAACUUUCUGAGAAGGUAGAAUGUUUUGAGUCCUUUUGCGAGUCUAAAAAAGUUUUUUUCUAUCUUCACACUUGCCUCUGUCAGCAGAUUCUAGAUUUUAGACUGAAAAUUGUUUUCGGGGGAAGGGAAUGAUGCUGGUAAGCGUAGCGCAGUUGCUCCCAGACUCAUUGCCCCUCCCUCCUUUAUUCCUCCCUGGGGCCUUUUUUGGGGGCGAUGAUUGGCUUUCGGUCCUUGUCUUUAUCCCCAGUGUCCUGGGAUUUCACUUUGUACUUCCAUUGCUCUGAGGACUUGGAGGAGGGCUCUUGCAGUCUUGGGUCCUUUAGCUCUGGGAAUUUGUCUUGUAAUUUUUAUUUGAUGAUUUCCCUCCCUUUUCUCCCCUUUGUGUUUCUGGAACUCCUGGAUUAAUCUGAUUUUGCUGGGAGAAACCAGUGUUCAUCUCCUGGUUAAUUUGUCUGUGAUUUCCUUGACUUUAUCUUGCAUUGCUUCUAUUGAAAUUGAAAUUAAGAAAGUUCCCUUGUAGCACAGGGGGUUAAAGAUCUGGCAUUGCUGCAGCUGUGGUACAGGUGUGGCCAAAAAAAAAAAAAGGGAAAAUUGAAGUUUAAUUUUUUUUUAAUUUUUUUUAUUUUUUAUUUUUUUGGCUUUUUAGGGCUUCACCUGUGGCAUAUGGAGGUUCCGAGGCUAGGAGUCACACUGGAGCUGCAGCUGCUGGCCUACACCACAGCCACAGCAAUGCCAGAUCCAAGCCACAUCUGCAACCUGUAUCACAGCUCAUGGCAACGCCGGAGUCUUAACCUACUGAGUGAGGCCAGGGAUCGAAUCUGAAUCCUCAUGGAUCCUAGUCGGGUUUGUUACCUGCUGAGCCACAACAGGAACUCCCUAAAGUUAAAAAAAAUUUUCAGAAUGGUUUGGAUUUAUUGUAAAGUUAGAGGUUCUGUAUACCCUGCUUCCAGUUUCACCUGUUAGAAAGAUCUUACAUUAUUAUGGUCCAUUUGUCCCAACUAAUUAACCAGCAUUUAUACCCUGAAGUCUCUGUUUUAUUCAGAUUUUCUUAGUUAUUUAAUGUCCCUUUCUGUUCUACGGUACCAUGUUUUGUUGUCCUGUCUCCUUAUGUUCCUUUAUUAUUUUAUUUUAUUUUAUUUUAUUUUGUCUUUUUGCCACUUCUUGGGCCGCUCCUACAGCAUAUGGAGGUUCCCAGGCUAGGGGUCUAAUCGGAGCUGUAGCCGCCAGCCUACACCAGAGCCACAGCAACGUGGGAUCCAAGCCAUGUCUGCAACCUACACCAUAGCUCACAGCAAUGCUGGAUCCUUAACCCUACUGAGCAAGGCCAGGGACCGAACCCGCAACCUCGUGGUUCCUAGUCGGAUUCCUUAACCACUGUGCCACGACGGGAACUCCCUUAAGUUCCUUUAGACUGUGACAGUUGCCAGAUUUUUCCUGUCUCUGAUGACCUUGACAGUCUUGGGGAGUACUGAUCAGGUAUUUUGUAGAAUGUCCCUCAGUUGGGAUUUGUCUGAUUUUUCUCCUGAUUAACCUGAGCUUUUGGGGUUUUGGCUGUCCUGUCUUGAGUUCUUCCUAGGGCUUUUUUCUGUUUUCUGGUGCCCCGUACACAAAAAAGCACAACAAUCUGUUUUUGUUUGCAGGUGUGCAACGUCUCAGUCUCCUGAGGACAUUCGUUUUAUGUUAUGUAUUUUAAAAAAACUCUUUGAUUCCUGGCAUUGUCUGUCUCCUCCAGCUUCUUUCGUUUGUCUCUCUGUAUUGCUUUCUGUCUUUCAGUUGACGUCUCAGAUGUCCGUGGUCUUAGACGUGUACACAGCUGAUUGGAAACUGGGUGGGUGGGUCAGCAGGAGCUCUUGGGGGUGGGGCGGGUAGUUGAGAAGCUGACCUUUUAUAUCCCAAGUGGGUCUUGUAGGUUUUCGAGAGAAUGCUCCUUUGCCGGAGGUUGCACAUGCCUCUGCUCCACUCCGUGGGGCCAGCAGCAGAGGGGACUUCGGCCCCACAGUUUGCUCCUCAGGUUUUCACUUAGCUUCUUUUUUUAGCUCCUUUCCUCCCCACCCUCCCCCCGCCCAUUUGACCCUGGUGACCCCUCUAGGGGAGCAGGAAGGCUGUGUGGGAGGCUGGCGGUGGCACAUGCAGCCUUUCUGCAAGGGCUCCUCACCCUCCCAGUCCUGCAGGGUGCCCACCCUUCCCCAUACUUCCUGAGCUGCUAAGUCUGUUACUACUCCGGUUGGUUCUUUGUCUGCCGCCAUUGUCCCUGUGUUUUGCAUUCUCUUUGUUGUCUAUUUCCUUUUAAAGGGUUUUGGGAAGGUGAGCUAUAAAUGCCAUGUUUAGCCAGAACGUCCCUGUUUUCUAAAGAGUUUUCAUGCAUCAGGUGGAAUGGAGGUAAGGGCACAUCUGGGUAGGCACACAUGUGUGUUUGAGUACCUGUGUGUGUCCAUUUGUCAGUUACACCUCUCGGCUCCUUUUCCCCCUGAUGGGUGGUGCUUGUCUUCGUAUCAGAACAUCGAGAGCUGCCAUUUGCUGUCGUGGCUACAGAGGGUUGCAAGGCCCUGGAGAAAGGGUGGGUUGGGCUGUUGGCCAUGUGUCACACCAUCUUGCACAAAGUGAGCUCUCUGUCCCUGCCCUCCUGAGAAGGGAGGAAAGGGGAGCUCUCCAUGACAGCCUGUCCUCACAGCAGCCUUCUAAAGUAGGCCUUCUGGGAGUUCCCGUCGAGGUGCAGCAGAACCGUGAGGUUUCGGGUCCAUUCCUGGCCUCGAUCAGUGGGUUAAGGAUCCGGCGUUGCCAUGAGCUGGGGUGUAGGCUGGCAGCUGCAGCUCCGAUUAGACCCCCAGUUUGAGAACUUCCAUAUGCCGCAGGUGCAG
rnacentral:lncRNA from 1 species